rnacentral:rRNA from 1 species
GGGAUUGCCCCAGUAGCGGCGAGCGAAGCGGCAACAGCUCAAAUUUGAAAUCUGGCCCCAGGCCCGAGUUGUAAUUUGCAGAGGAUGCUUUUGGCGCGGCCCCUUCUGAGUCCACUGGAACGUGGCGCCAUAGAGGGUGAGAGCCCCGUAUAGUCGGAAGCCAAGCCAGUGUAAAGCUCCUUCGACGAGUCGAGUAGUUUGGGAAUGCUGCUCUAAAUGGGAGGUAAAUGUCUUCUAAAGCUAAAUACCGGCCAGAGACCGAUAGCGCACAAGUAGAGUGAUCGAAAGAUGAAAAGCACUUUGAAAAGAGGGUUAAAUAGCACGUGAAAUUGUUGAAAGGGAAGCGCUUGUGACCAGACUUGUGCCGGGCGGAUCAUCCAGCGUUCUCGCUGGUGCACUCCGCUCGGUUCAGGCCAGCAUCGGUUCUGUUGGGGGCAUAAAGGCCGCUGGAAUGUAGCUCUUCGGAGUGUUAUAGCCAGUGGUGUAAUACCUCCGGUGGGACCGAGGACCGCGCUUCUGCAAGGAUGCUGGCGUAAUGGUCAUCAGCGACCCGUCUUGAAACACGGACCAAGGAGUCGAGGUUUUGCGCGAGUGUUUGGGUGUAAAACCCGCACGCGUAAUGAAAGUGAACGCUGGUGAGAGCUUCGGCGCAUCAUCGACCGAUCCUGAUGUAUUCGGAUGGAUUUGAGUAAGAGCGUAAAGCUUCGGACCCGAAAGAUGGUGAACUAUGCUUGGAUAGGGUGAAGCCAGAGGAAACUCUGGUGGAGGCUCGCAGCGGUUCUGACGUGCAAAUCGAUCGUCAAAUCUGAGCAUGGGGGCGAAAGACUAAUCGAACCAU